ACGACUUUACUUGAACAUGAUCUGUUUUAUAGGCUCAUACCACGGCAUCCUUGAGUUUUAAGGAGACAGGAUUGAAAAAUGGUGGAUGAACCAUGGUCAUUAGACCUAAGUGUGAUUAACAGCUCCCAUGAUUCUCAGGUCUGAGCCGUAGAGGUUCGUUCCGGGAUGGACUAAUGGCUGUCUAACAGGCU
rnacentral:snoRNA from 1 species